GGGGCUGUGGCUCCAGUGGUAGAGCCUCUGCUUGACACGCAGAAGGUCCCAGGUUCAAUCCCUGGCAUCUCCA